rnacentral:lncRNA from 1 species
CCACCCCGUGUCCUUCUCCCUCCUCCCUUACUCUGUCUUCUCUCACCUUUCUCCCUAUCUCUCGCAGGAGACAACCAUGAAUGCCCGAGGAUCUCCCGCGUCCAAACGAAGAAGUUCAAUCAAGCCACACCCUCUGUCGUCGCCAUUAUGCACCGGCAGCUCGCCGAAGCCAGCAGUAGCCACCAGGACCUCGUGGAGCUCACCAUCGCCAGGAGUGCCGUCGCCUUCAACUUCAUCGGACCAGCAGGACCGUGUCCAUCCUGCUCCAUCAUCCCCUUUGUUUCCUUCCUUUCACCCCGGUCUCUCCCAUCUCUAUUUCUUCUCUCCCUUUUCUCAUCUCUCUAUGUUCUCUGUAGUUAGCAGCAGCAGCGCAUGAAGAUUCAACCAAACCAGGACCCGAUGUCGAGCCACGUCGAGCUUCUCGUCCAAUAUUGGGCCUUCCUCAAGCCCUCUGCCUCGCUGGUGGCCCCAGCUGCGCCAACGUUUGGUUUUCUUGCUCAGUUCGCUGAAUUUGCAAUGUACCUGUUUUGCCUUAGUUCAAAAACUCGUGACCCUGUGGCUGUUCAAACGUACCCCUCUAGCCGAGAUGGUAAUCGCUGCUUAGAGAAUCCCGUGCUAUAUCAAAGGCAGAGUAGUAGUCUAGUUCGCUAGUGCAGCAGGUUUUCCACCAUGAGGUCCACACAUCAAAUUUUUCCACGGCCUCUCUUUUAUUUUCACCCUUUGUAUUUAUUUUCUUUUGCAUGUNNNNN